AUGUAAGGUGAUCUGUCUUUAAGUAGGGAUAAAUCACUCUAAAGGAAAUGAAUCCUAGAUAGUUUUCAAGUCAAGCGUCUUGU
rnacentral:pre_miRNA from 1 species